AGCAGCCGCGGUAAUUCCAGCUCCAAUAGCGUAUAUUAAAGUUGUUGUGGUUAAAAAAGCCCGUAGUUGAACCUUGGGCCUGGCUGGCCGGUCCGCCUCACCGCGUGCACUGGUCCGGCCGGGCCUUUCCCUCUGCGGAACCCCAUGCCCUUCACUGGGUGUGGUGGGGAAACAGGACUUUUACUUUGAAAAAAAUUUAGAGUGCUCAAGGCAGGCCUAUGCUCGAAUACAUUAGCAUGGAAUAAUAGAAUAGGACGUGUGGUUCUAUUUUGUUGGUUUCUAGGACCGCCGUAAUGAUUAAUAGGGACAGUCGGGGGGCAUCAGUAUUCAAUUGUCAGAGGUGAAAUUCUUGGAUUUAUUGAAGACUAACUACUGCGAAAGCAUUUGCCAAGGAUGUUUUCAUUAAUCAGGAACGAAAGUUAGGGGAUCGAAGACGAUCAGAUACCGUCGUAGUCUUAACCAUAAACUAUGCCGACUAGGGAUCGGACGAUGUUACAUUUUUUGACGCGUUCGGCACCUU
rnacentral:misc_RNA from 1 species